rnacentral:rRNA from 1 species
CCUACGGGUGGCAGCAGUGGGGAAUAUUGCACAAUGGGGGAAACUCUGAUGCAGCGACGCCGCGUGAGUGAAGAAGUAUCUCUGUACGUAAAGCUCUAUUAGCAGGGAAGAAAAACCGGCCUUAGGGCCGCCAGUCGGUACCUGACUCAGCAGCUCCGGCUAACUACGCGCCAGCAGCCGCGGUAAUACGUAGGGGGCAAGCGUUAUCCGGAUUUACUGGGUGUAAAGGGAGCGUAGGCGGCAGCGCAAGUCUGGCGUGAAAAGCCGGGGCGCAACCCCGGAACUGCUUUGGAAACUGUGCAGCUGGAGAGCAGGAGAGGUAAGCGGAAUUGCUAGUGUAGCGGUGAAAUGCGUAGAUAUUA